rnacentral:misc_RNA from 1 species
GUCAGGAAGCAAAAGUAUCCCCUUUGUACAUUACACGAAUCUCUAAUGUUUUACUUGUCACCAUAUAUAAUGAGUAAAUAUUUUGUUCUAAUUUAUAUAUAAUGAAUACUCACCAAUUAGCCAAAGGUGUUGUUAUUUGGUUCAACUUUCAUACAUUAAUUUUUUCAACAAUCUCCAUAGGCCUGUGUCACCUCGCCCUUUUCUUUCGAUGUACUUGUCUUGUCCAUGCAAAUAUCCAUGGAAUUGCACG